AUGAACGCUGGCGGCGUGCCUAAUACAUGCAAGUCGAGCGAACAGACGAGGAGCUUGCUCCUCUGACGUUAGCGGCGGACGGGAGAGUAACACGUGGAUAACCUACCUAUAAGACUGGGAUAACUUCGGGAAACCGGAGCUAAUACCGGAUAAUAUAUUGAACCGCAUGGUUCAAUAGUGAAAGACGGCUUUGCUGUCACUUAUAGAUGGAUCCGCGCCGCAUUAGCUAGUUGGUAAGGUAACGGCUUACCAAGGCGACGAUGCGUAGCCGACCUGAGAGGGUGAUCGGCCACACUGGAACUGAGACACGGUCCAGACUCCUACGGGAGGCAGCAGUAGGGAAUCUUCCGCAAAGGGCGAAAGCCUGACGGAGCAACGCCGCGUGAGUGAUGAAGGUCUUCGGAUCGUAAAACUCUGUUAUUAGGGAAGAACAAAUGUGUAAGUAACUAUGCACGUCUUGACGGUACCUAAUCAGAAAGCCACGGCUAACUACGUG
rnacentral:rRNA from 1 species